AGGCAGCAAUGCGACAUGACCGGCUGCCGUGACGCACUAACGAAGAAGAAGAUAUAUCGCCCAUGAUCGUCCAUGUGGCUCCUUCUGAGACAGAACAAUUCAAUGAUAGCUUAACAUCAACUUAAUCAAUAUAAUAAAACCAACAGCAGUGGUGGUGGUGAAGCUGUCAGCAGCUCCGCGGGGAACUCAAGAUGCAAUGCGACGACGUAAUCUGGGACAUUAUCGGGAACAAACAGUUCUGCUCCUUCAAAGUCAAGACCAAGAGUCAGAGCUUCUGUCGAAAUGAAUACAACAUCACAGGGCUGUGCAACCGCUCGUCCUGCCCGCUGUCCAACAGUCAGUACGCCACGAUCAGGGAGGAGAAA